rnacentral:lncRNA from 1 species
UGCGCAGAAGAUGCCCUUAUGGCUUUGGCUGCAUCUACUUCGACAUCCACCAAAUCAUCUGCAUCUACAUCAGCUGAUGAUGAUGAAGAUGAUGUUAAUAUUCCCUGCUGCUGCUGCUGCUGCUGCUGCUGCUGUUGCCUCCUCCUGUAAGCCAUUUCUUUUUUCCUAAUUCCUAUUCCAAUUUCUUCGCACAAUUCAUCAACUCGAUCUUAGUCUUGCUCUACUUUUGUUGUUGUUGUUCCUUGCUGCUUCAAUCUCCCUUUCGAAUUUGGAUUAAACCUGUCGCCUCAUCUCUCACUCACUCUGAUAUCUGUAUUUUGAAUCGUGUAUUGGAGUAUGUAGGUUCUGUUGUGGCCACUCAGCCGUCAGCGACGUCAACGCUCUACGCCCACCAUUUUUCAUCAAAUAAAAUUCUACAGUCCACACCCAGUCCUAUUCUGCUUUACUUGAUUUCAACUGCAGCUGAUGCAGCUUGUAACAGCCCAUAGGAUAGGCCCAUUUCUAUACAUUUUGUUCAUAGGCCCAUUACCAUACAAAAUUACAUAUUAAAAAAUUUGGUUUUAAAAAAAUAAAAAUUUUGAAUUAAUUGUAAUAUGUAUUUGCAAUUUUAUUUUAUUUUUUGAGAAAUAUUUUC